GGGCUCAUAGCUCAGUUGGUCAGAGCGCCUGCCUUACAAGCAGGAUGUCGGGAGUUCGAAUCUCUCUGGGCCCA
rnacentral:tRNA from 31 species